UUUCCUACAUUUUUGAAACUUGUUUACAGAAUUGCUUUUGAAACAUCAAUAAAUUUAAAUAAGAUUUUUCCCUAUCAACACAAAGCAUGAGGAGUCAUCUGUAAGAGAAGCAGUAAAGCUGGAGUGUGACAGCGUAAAACCCAAGUGGCUGAGGACUAUAGAUGGUUUUAAAUAAAUGUAAAUACCUAUUUGAAUAUGAAGAAUUGCUUUGCUUGUUUAUAUAUAUUUAUAAUAAAUAUGCAACUUCAAUUUAGCAGAAUUAAAAUUCAGCAGAGUCUGUAGCAUAUGUAUUUUGUGUACAAGACAAUACAAGUCCUUGAAAUCUAUGCACAUCAACACUUAGAAAUGUGGCCACAUAAACUGUGUUCUGUCAGCAAAGGAAAUCAUUGUCUAUUCUGUUAUGUUGUCUGAGAUGCAGCAAUGUGAAUGUUAAAUGGGAAAUGUCAUUCAAGACGACACAGAAACAGGACUCACAAAGUUCUGAUCUUCUCACUGCUCAUGGAGGCACAAACCUGAGAUAAGAAAGAAAUGUCAAGUUUUUGCAAAUGUCACCCUUGAAAGGUUUAGUAAUCUGUAGUCACUCUUCAGGUAAAGGCGUCACCUCCCCCAUAUUUUUAAGGCCAUUAGAGAAAAUUGACAAAGUUAUAUCAGAAAAGUUCAAAGCAUAUAGGAACACACAGAAGAAAUUAAUGCUAUAUGAAGACAAUUCUAAAUAGUUGAUUUGGAAGGAAGCAACUCAGGUAUAUAGCAUCCGUGGGAAUUACACUCACCCCUAAAUCACACAGAGAGUAAUGCUGUUGCAAGAAUGAGAUUGAAUAUGAGAUUCUUGGAUGGGAAGAGUACAGACUUCUAAAAAUUAUCAAAAUUGCACUGAAUUUUAAAAGAAAUAGGGGUUUUUUUUUUAGCUCUGUUAAGUCUGCCUUUGCCAAAGAAUUAAGAACUAAGAAAUUUUCCAAGGCCUCUCUCCAAUGAAUUCAUGGGUUUAUAGGUAUUCUUGUUGAAAUAAACUGUGCAUCAAAGCAUCAAAAUAAGAAUCAAAGUGACCUUUCCUAAACAUCCAUAAUGCACUGAUAUACUGUUCCCAAUUGCCUAAAUAAAUCAACCUGCUGAAAAUAAAUCAAGUGAUAGAGGUGUCACAACUUAACUCAUAUGCAGUUUAAUUUGGAGAAACAAUCAUUAUCUUAAAAGGUUUUCCUGAAAAGUACAUCAGAUGUUAGCUCAGUUUCAUGUCAGUGCUCACCAUCCCACAUCUCUCUUCUUCUUUUCUGAUGUUUUAUUUCUUUAUAAUAAAGCAGUUAUAAAUCAUUGUCUACAAUGGAAUUAAAUCAAAUGAUGCAUAACAAGUAAAAAGAUCAGUGCCAUAAAAACUGGCAGACUGGAAAAAUAUUAACAUGAGUACAUGACACAUAGACAAGAAAAAGUAGUUUUGAACUUCAUCAAGAAUACAAAAUAUGGCAUCACUGUAGCUACAUGAAUUUGGACCAGACAAGAUUUUGGCAGUAAUUUCUGAAGGAUGACACCUUGUACUCCUCAGCCAUGAAAGAUUCUUCAUGGGACUGAGACAAUGGAUCUUAAUUGUUAGGUAGAGAUUAAGUAAAAUUAGCCAAGAAGAUUGCUCUGAACAGGCAGGGAAGGGUGGAGUACUAAAAAUCUCUCAUUGUUUCAUGGAUUAUUUUAUUAAAGAGUGAGUUAAAUGCUGAUAUUUGGGGUCCACUCAAGAUGGCCAGUAGAUUACCUGUAACUUUUUCCUAACACUCAAAAAAAAAAAAAAAAAAAAAAA
rnacentral:lncRNA from 1 species